GGGGAAUUUUGGACAAUGGGGGAAACCCUGAUCCAGCCAUACCGCGUGAGUGAAGAAGGCCUUCGGGUUGUAAAGCUCUUUCAGCCGGAAAGAAAUCGCACUGGUUAAUACCUUGUGUGGAUGACGGUACCGGAAGAAGAAGCACCGGCUAACUACGUGCCAGCAGCCGCGGUAAUACGUAGGGUGCGAGCGUUAAUCGGAAUUACUGGGCGUAAAGCGUGCGCAGGCGGUUUUGUAAGACAGAUGUGAAAUCCCCGGGCUCAACCUGGGAACUGCAUUUGUGACUGCAAGGCUAGAGUACGGCAGAGGGGGGUAGAAUUCCACGUGUAGCAGUGAAAUGCGUAGAUAUGUGGAGGAAUACCGAUGGCGAAGGCAGCCCCCUGGGUCGAUACUGACGCUCAUGCACGAAAGCGUGGGGAGCAAAC
rnacentral:rRNA from 1 species